UAGAGGGGGAGAACCCCUGGAAACGGGGGGUAAUACCGCAUAACGUCGCAAGACAAAAGAGGGGGACCUUCGGGCCUCUCACUAUCGGAGGAGCCCACAUGGGAUUAGCUAUAAGGCGGGGUAAUGGGCCACCUAUGCGACAAUACCUAUCUGGGCUGAGAGGAUGACCAGCCACACUGGAACUGAGACACGGUCCACACUCCUACGGGAGGCGGCAGUGGGGAAUAUUGCGCAAUGGGCGCAAGCCUGAUGCACCCAUGCCCCGUGUAUGAAAAAAGCCUUCGGGUUGUAAAGUACUUUCACCGGGGAGAAAGGGGGGGAGGUUAAUAACCUCUCCGAUUGAGGUUACCCCCACAAAAAACACCGGCUAACUCCGCGCCACCACCCGCGGUAAUACAGAGGGGGCGCGCGUUAAUCGGAAUUACUGGGCGUAAAGCGCACGCACGCGGGCUGUUAAAUGAGAUAUGAGAUCCCCGGGCUUAUCCUGGGAACUGCGUUUGAAACUGUGAGGCUUGAGUCUCUCGUAGAGGGGUAUAAAUCUACGUGUAUCGCUGAAAUACGUAUAGAUCUCGAGGAAUACCGGUGGCGAGAGCGCCCCCCUGUACGAAAACUGACGCUCACGUGCGAGAGCGUGUGGAGCACACAGGAUUAUAUACACUGUGAUACUACGCGCAUACGAUGUCUACUUGUAGGUUGUUGCUCUUGAGAGAGUGUUCCGGAGCUCUCGCGUUAAGUCUACCAGCGUCGUGGAGUACAGCCGCGACGGUGUAAAAUCUACAUGAUGAUGUACGACGGGGCCGCACAGACGCUGUAGCAUGAUGUGUUUAUUAUUCUCAUGACGAACACGGCAAGAAUAACU
rnacentral:rRNA from 1 species